ACUCCUACGGGAGGCAGCAGUGGGGAAUAUUGCACAAUGGGCGCAAGCCUGAUGCAGCCAUGCCGCGUGUAUGAAGAAGGCCUUCGGGUUGUAAAGUACUUUCAGCGGGGAGGAAGGCAAUACGGUUAAUAACCGUGUUGAUUGACGUUACCCGCAGAAGAAGCACCGGCUAACUCCGUGCCAGCAGCCGCGGUAAUACGGAGGGUGCAAGCGUUAAUCGGAAUUACUGGGCGUAAAGCGCACGCAGGCGGUCUGUCAAGUCGGAUGUGAAAUCCCCGGGCUCAACCUGGGAACUGCAUUCGAAACUGGCAGGCUUGAGUCUUGUAGAGGGGGGUAGAAUUCCAGGUGUAGCGGUGAAAUGCGUAGAGAUCUGGAGGAAUACCGGUGGCGAAGGCGGCCCCCUGGACAAAGACUGACGCUCAGGUGCGAAAGCGUGGGGAGCAAACAGGAUUAGAAACCCGUGUAGUCCCAUGAU
rnacentral:rRNA from 1 species